rnacentral:lncRNA from 1 species
GUCCUGACUUAGCAGCAUGGUAUUUUUUUUCACCUGCAGUAAAUGUCUUUUGAGGCAUCUACUGAGACCCAGCCCUUUUCUUAGAGAAUUGGUCCUGAGCCCCCACACCCCCUUGAAGGACUGGAAGCGUGGAUCAUGCUUGUUUUGUGUGACCCCAUAGGCUGGUCAAUGCAUGACCCAGCUGCGCACAGAAGGACCUUGCUCCAGGAACUGCAAUGUGGGCAGGUCGUUUGGUUGGGCCAGGGCUUGGAGAAGGCAGAGCUCUGGAGUUUGGGGCCACCGUUUUCAGCCAUGUGUCCAGAGACGUGGAAAGCCAGGGGGUGGGGGGGUUUUGCCAGGAAUCAAAGAUGUCAAGGGAAGCAGACGCCAGACUGGCCUUCCUGGAGACAGGCAAGGUCACUUCCUUGUUUCAGAGUGACUAUCCGCUUCCUAAUUUCAGACCUGGUGAAACAGGGCCACUCUUCACUGGGUACAUUUAGCGUCUCCCAAUAAAGUCUCCCUGUUUGCUUUGGUUGAUCACAACACGUUGGUGUGUGUGUGUGUGUGUUUAACCUACACAUUACCAUCUAACAUUUUCUUGGGCUUGCAGGACCUCUGGGAACAGCAAAGUGAAUGGCUCUAGCAUGAGACUUGGAAUAUAGUAGGCGGGUACCAUGACACAUGUGUUCAGAGGAUGGCAGUGGGGGCGGUCUUACCUUUAUACAGGAUGACCCUCCAUUUCCCUUGUGCCCCCCCGCCCCAGCUCUUGCGCGUGUCCUCUCUCCUAGGACCCUGUGCCUAAUACUGCCUCUUAAAGCGUCAAACCGUCAUUAUGUCUUUAUCUCACUUGCCUCUCGGCCAGUGUCUGCUCCAUGUCCUUCUUCUUAGCGCCUUGAAAAAUUUUUUUCUAAGAUGUUCAGAGAUGAUAAAAACGUAUUAGCUCAUCAGGAGAUAAGGGAAUCUGCAAUUUGUGGCAGACUGUCUUAGGGCUUGUCUAAAUUAGGGGUGAUUCUUUCCAUCACAGAGACAGAGGUUUCAGGACAUCUAGAGACAAAGGAUUUUACUGUCUUUUUUAUUUCCCAUGAAAUGCAAUGCUAAGCAGGGUUCAUAUUUUACCCACACGGCUUCCUGGCCUCUGCCGAAAGAGGCGUUUCAUCCGGUGCCCCAGCUGUUCUGGAGCCUGCAGUGGGGUGGCUGUCGGGGAAGGGGAGACACAGAAGCGGUUGGGGGCCUCUGUGCAGGCUCUCAAGUGCACUUCCCUCAGGGCAACAGCCUGUGGAAAUGUCCAGUCUGACUCUCUUCUUUCGGCACAAUGGAGGGCACCUGUCUCUGUUGUUUAUCAGAAAAUGAGCAGUAAGCACAAUCUCUACAUAAAGAGAAACUCAAAAAGACUAUAUUUCUGAUCUUCUUGGUGUUAGUUAUCUUCUGGAAAAAAAGGCACGGUCUUGGUAGAACUUGUUUACGAAUUACAGUUACAGUUCAUCAACCCCAAAUUCUCUUUCGAAGGAAAAACCAGAAUACGAGGUGCCUGUGCUGAUUAUAACACAUGGCCUACCAAGCCCCGUGCUGGGUACUUCCGUGCAUACUUCAUUUAAAUGUCACUGGAGUAGGGCCAUCUUACUACGGAUUUUUUUUAAGACGUUAAGUCAGGGCCUAAGAGGUCACAUAGAUGGUAAGUAAAAAAUCUGGUAAGAAAAGGUCACACGGCCAGAGUGUGGCCCCAAGUUUACCUGACUCUUAAAAGCACUAGGUCUACCACCCUCUAAUGUCUGAUAAGACAUCUCAGGGUGUGUGCUUGUUAAAAAUCCCAUCCCGGGCCUGUUGCAGAUCAAAUAAAUCAGCAUCUUCUAGAAAUGGGUCCAGGAAUUCAUCUCAGGUGAAGCUUAUCAGGCAAGUUAGAUAAAAGCUGCUGUCAGGCUUUAAAUGCUUUUUUCCCUCUUUCUUUAACCCAGUAAUUCUUGGCAAGGUGUUUGCAAAGAAAGCCUUUUCUCUUUUAACAAGCUUUUGGUUUUGGAAUCAUUUUGAGAAGUUGCAAAAAUCACACAGAGAGGUCCCAUAUGCCUCCUCCAACCUCUUUAUCUCUGAUGUUAGGAUCUUACAGAAACUAAGAAACUAACACUGAUCAGCUGUUACAAACUGCGUGUGGCCGCCGCUUACCCUGGAAACGAUGACAAUGACAGAGAAGGAAAGAGAAAGCUGGGACAGUCCAUAUUUGCUUUUUUCUUUCCUUUGUCCUCAGUCAGGAGUUCCCGUCGUGGCGCAGUGGUUAACGAAUCCGACUAGGAACCAUGAGGUUGCGGGUUCGGUCCCUGCCCUCGCUCAGUGGGUUAACGAUCUGGCGUUGCCGUGAGCUGUGGUGUAGGUUGCAGACGCGGCUCGGAUCCCGCGUUGCUGUGGCUCUGGCGUAGGCCGGUGGCUACAGCUCCGAUUAGACCCCUAGCCUGGGAACCUCCAUAUGCCGCGGGAGCGGCCCAAGAAAUAGCAACAACAACAACAACAAAAA